rnacentral:rRNA from 1 species
AUAUCAAUAAGCGAAGGAAAAGAAACCAACAGGGAUUGCCUUAGUAACGGCGAGUGAAGCGGCAAAAGCUCAAAUUUGAAAUCUGGCACUUUCAGUGUCCGAGUUGUAAUUUGAAGAAGGUAACUCUGGAGUUGGCCCUUGUCUAUGUUCCUUGGAACAGGACGUCACAGAGGGUGAGAAUCCCGUGCGAUGGGGUGUCCAAUUCUAUGUAGAGUGCUUUCGAAGAGUCGAGUUGUUUGGGAAUGCAGCUCUAAGUGGGUGGUAAAUUCCAUCUAAAGCUAAAUAUUGGCGAGAGACCGAUAGCGAACAAGUACAGUGAUGGAAAGAUGAAAAGAACUUUGAAAAGAGAGUGAAAAAGUACGUGAAAUUGUUGAAAGGGAAGGGCUUGAGAUCAGACUCGGUAUUUUGCGAUCCUAUCCUUCGUGGAGAGGUUUCACUUGCAGCUUACCGGGCCAGCAUCGGUUUGGAUGGUAGGAUAAUGACAUUGGAAUGUGGCUUUUCGGAGUGUUAUAGCCUUUGUUGAUACUGCCUAUCUAGACCGAGGACUGCGUCUUUGACUAGGAUGCUGGCAUAAUGA